GGGCCUGUAGCUCAGCUUGGGAGAGCGCACGCUUCGCAUGCGUGAGGCCAGGGGUUCGAUCCCCCUCAGGUCCA
rnacentral:tRNA from 1 species